rnacentral:lncRNA from 1 species
GGGCGCUACACUUUCGUUUAUUUUCGAUUUCAUUCGUUGAACUGUUCCGUUUAUUGGGACUUUUUCCCUCAAGCCUUCAGGAAGCUGUAUUCUUGCAUAAAAUCCAGUGAUAAGAAACAACAUAAUCCCGGUAAGUCACCCUAUGACAAGUAUAUAAGCAUUGCAAAUGACUAUUUGCUCGUUAUUAUGAAUAUGAAUGAAAAACGGAUGUGUGAUUGAAUGCAAUCUCUUCAAUUAAUAGCUUCAUUAUCCCAUUGAAAUAAUCUUUUUGAACAUAAGAAAACAUACUUUUACAUAUUUGAAAGUAAAUAUGUUUUUAUUGGAAUGAAGUAUGCAUACAUCGCAUACAUUCAACAAUGAUGAUUUGGUCUGCAUAUGACAUUCACAUAGUCGGUAAACAUUUCCUAUGCCAAGAGUGUUUAUUCUAAUAUUCUCUAGUAUGGCAUGCAUGUAGCCUGUGAGAAUGGCUUGUGAUAUAUUUUUGAGGCAGUGGAAUAUAAGUAUGAGCUUUUAAAAAAAUAAAAUAAUAAACAUCUCUUUGCCUAUGUGCAUAAAGCACCACAGAUGAAUCAAAAUCAUUGUCAAAAUGGUGGUGCAUGUGUGUGUGUGUGUGUGUGUCCUUGUGCUUGCUUGUGCUCUCUUCUUUCGAUGAUUCAAUGAAUGCCAUAGUGUAAUAUCUGGAGAGAAAAAAAACAUUAUGGAUGAUGAAGGUAUGGGCGUGUAGCAUUAUGUAGAUUAGCCAUGCAAUAAAAUCAUAGGGUAACUCACAUAGUCAAAUAGGCACAGAGGUGGCAAUGUCCUAUUGUCCAAAAUAGAAAACGAACACUUUCAAUAUAUAUAAAUAGAUAGGCUAUGUCUUUCAAUGUAAGGGGUCUGUCAUAUGAAUACAGUAGACAAUUGCUGAAUACAUUUUAAAUGCAAUAUAUUCACACUCAAUGGCAUAUUCACCACACAAUCACAAGCAUUUACCCUUGAAAAAAAAAAAAAUACACAACAUUCAAAACACUUUCCCCCUAAAAAGCUUUCCUUCUCAUUUAACAAAAUAGGAAAUCCCAACGAAAUUUCUCAUUGGAGUUUGUAGUCUCUUUAUGUAAUAUGUUGGUUGCAAUGUUCAUUGCAGGAAAAAGGAAAACCUUGGCACCCCAAAUCUGUCCAUAUAUUCCACCGUUGAAAUAGUAUAUCCAUGACUCAGUCAACUCCAAUAUAUCAGGAAGACGAUGCAUCUCUUGUCAUCCUAUGAAAAUAACGAAAAUACUCUUCCUCAAUCUUCUAACAAGCACCGGCAUGUUGUAAUCCCAAAAAUCAUGUUGGUAAAGACUCUUCUCUUGCCAUAACUAACAGAAAAAAAGAACUUGUCUUCUCCCGGUAUGUACUUAGUCGUGAAAAAAAGACCAGUUGUAGAUACAAAAGACUGGAGUGUUUGGGUUUUUAGUUAAUUAGUAAUAUUUUAAGUGGGUUGCAUUUGUCCAUUUAGCAGUAGUUGCAAAUCCAGAACAAUGUCAGGCAGAUAAAGUUGCAGACACCUACAUUUUUGUCUCCUACCUUCUUCCUACACGGUUGGUGAUCCUCUCUAUUCAAGUUCCCACACGAAAUGCAUCUUUUUAAAGUAGCUGUUUACAGCUAGUCCUGUGUGGUAGAAGUCAUAAAUCUUACGUAGCCAUAAACGAAGGGGGGUAGUGUCCUGAAUAAUAAAAAAUAGAGAGAGAGGGAGGGAGGGAGAGAUGGUGAGAGGUAGUGAAGAGAGAAUAUAAAACCUGUAAAACACCUUCGGCUUCGUGUUUUCGUGUUUUCAUUUCUCCUCGUUUCCUUCUCAGUUUUUCUUCUUGUUGAUUUACUUUUCUCUUCCCGUUGGGUGUUAAAGUCCUACAUAGCCUACAGUAAAAACACAGGAAGUCCUUUCUUCUAUUUUUUAACAUGGACUCGCUAUCGACGUUUUUCUAAGAAGUUUGUGUGGCACCGGCUUGUCCUAGCUGUUAAAUACCACAGAUUCUCUUCUUAUUCCCCUUUUACUGAUUUGUUUUUACACCCCUCCCUUGUUUUUCAAGUGCGCCUGUUGUCUGUUCCCUGAGCCCCCCACCAGCCUCCCUUUUUCAUUUUGUCCAUUUGUUAUUACACUAGUUGUGUGUGUUGGGAGAGAUGUGUUGAAACAUUAACAAUACAGGGAGAACUCGGUUUCUGCCUCGAGCCAAGCGGGAGCCGGCUGUGGAAACCCACUUCCUGGUAAUUUAAUAUAGGCUACACCAGUGGAGGUAAAAAAACAAAGGCUCCUCUCAUAUACUUAACAAUAUUACCAUGGCUUGACACCUAACCAGGAAACACGUGAAUCAUCAAAAAGUACUAGCGCUGUCUCUCCGCUUGUAGGCCCCUGUCCUGUCCAGCACGUCUGCAAUUAGCAUAAUUUUUCACUGGUGACGUUGUUUGAUGGGGAUUAACAGCCGCGACUGGCGCUCCAAGUCAACCCCGCUAUAUCCGAAUAGCUGCACCAAGGCCUUGUGUUGACAAUACAAUAACCCACCGAAAGAGCUACGAGGAGCGAGAAUAACCACCGAGAGAAACACACGCAUGGGGGGGAAAUGCAAUGGGGGAAAUUUCGCGGCGAGCCCCGGCUCUGCUCGGAUUAUGAUGUUAAGGUUUGCGCUGUGAGAGAAAGGGAAAUCUGAGGCCAUUGUUAUCAGCGAGCAGGGCGUACCAGUCGACAGGGCAGCCAGGCACUUGCUGCCUGUCCAUUCGCAGCCCCCCUAGCAUUCCUCAGAUCUUUCAUGCCAGACCGUCUCCCCCCUUCCCAAGCCGAGGGGAUCCGUGCAGGAGCGCCCGGAUUCAGGCUCGGGGCAGCAGUCCUCGAGAUACCGGCGGAUUUACAUUCGCUGCGAGUUUUUGAAGGGAAGCGGAGAGCUCUCGUUUUAUUGAUUGCAUCGAGGCCGAAUGUGAAAAAUAUAUGAUGCCUGCCCGUGCUUCCUUCGUCAGAGGCUAAGGUAAGCUGGUCUGAAAUAGGCUAUCAGUUUGUGAAUGGCGGAGUGUGUCCCGGUGAUUUAUGACCAUAUGACUCCAAUCGCGGUUCAAGAAGAGUUCACAAUGCUUUAAGCUUCCUUCCACGCCGUACCCCCCCCCACCCCCC